UACGGGGGGGGCAAGCGUUGUUCGGAAUUACUGGGCGUAAAGGGCUCGUAGGCGGCCAACUAAGUCAGACGUGAAAUCCCUCGGCUUAACCGGGGAACUGCGUCUGAUACUGGAUGGCUCGAGUUUGGGAGAGGGAUGCGGAAUUCCAGGUGUAGCGGUGAAAUGCGUAGAUAUCUGGAGGAACACCGGUGGCGAAGGCGGCAUCCUGGACCAACACUGACACUGAUGAGCGAAAGCCAGGGGAGCAAACGGG
rnacentral:rRNA from 1 species